CAGGCUAAGUGAUUCUCCUGCCUCAGCCUCCCAAGUAGCUGGGAUUAAUAGGCUCGUGCCACCACACCCAGCUAAUUUUGUAUUUUUAGUAGAGAUGGGGUUUCUCCACAUUGGCCAGGCUGGUCUCAAGCUCCCAACCUCAGGUGAUCCGCCCGCCUCGGCCUCCCAAAGUGCUGGGAUUACAGGCGUGAGCCACCAUGCCCAGCCUGACAACAUAUUUUUAGAGUUUUAUUAGCUUUUUACAAAAUGCCAGAAGGCCAAAAUUAAUUUCUAAAUUAAUUUGAAAAAGUAGCACCUAAGUUCAUUUUGAUAGUAACUACUUCCAGAUAAAAUCCUACAUGAGUAUUGUGCCAAUGUCAGUUUCCUGAUUUUGAUAAAUUCUAUGUCAUCACUGGGGGAAUCUGGGUAAUGGGCAUAGGGGAUCUAUUUUGCAACUUCUUUUGAGUGUAUAAUUACAUCAAGAUGAAAAGUUAAAAAAAAACUAUAUAAGAAAUACAAAACUGUGCUAGGAGCUUUACUUAUUUUUAAGAGAAAAGCUCCAGUAUAUCCUAAAACUAUUAAUUAUGUGAUGAAAUUAAGAACCAAAAUAGAGACUAGCUUAAAAUACAUGUUGAUUCUUGAACCAGUAGAUAUAUGAAUAUGGCUUUUCUCUAGUCAACUGUGAAUUGCUCUGGAAGAUGAAACUCUAUGGCCUUUUAUUUUAUUUUUUAGGGUCCCUAAUAGUGAAGAAGCAUCCUCUUUUUUUUUGAGACGGAGUUUCACUGUUGUUGUCCAGGCUGGAGUGCAGUGGCUUAAUCUCAGCUCACUGCAAAUCUCCGCCUCCCGGGUUUUAGUGAUUCUCCUGCCUCAGCCUCCCAAGUGGCUGGGAUUACAGGCAUGAGCCACCACGCCCAGCUAAUUUUUUUGUAUUUAGUAGAGAUGGGGUUUCACCAUGUUGGUCAGGCUGGUCUUGAACUCCUGACCUUAGGUGAUCCACCCGCCCUGGCCUACCAAAGUGCUGGGAUUACAGGCGUGAGCCACCGCACCCAGCCAAGAAACAUCCUCUUAAAGAGAGUUCUUACUUUUCACAGCAUAGUUAAGACAUCUCUUGAGACCUAGAGAUGGAUAAGCAACAAACAGUAUUAAACUUCCAUUAGUGUGUUUUUGGAAUUUAUUAAAAACAAGAGGAUACACAUCACAUACUUGACUGUUGCAGCAUAAGAACUGACAAAAUUGGCUGGGCGCAGUGGCCCACGCCUAUAAUCCCAGCACUCUGGGAGGCUGAGGUGGGUGGAUCACCUAAGGUUAGGAGUUCGAGACCAGCCUGGCCAACAUGGUGAAACCCCGUCUGUACUAAAAAUACAAAAAUUAGCCGGGCGUGGUGGCAGGUGCCUGUAAUCCCAGUUGAUCGGAAGGCUGAGGCAGGAGAAUCGCUAGAACCCUGGAGGCAGAGGUUGCAGUGAGCCCAGAUGGUGCCACUGCACUCCAGCCUGGGUGACGAAGACUUUGCCUCAAAACAAAAAAACAAAAAACUGACAUUUACUAUUAACCCAAAUUUUGAAUUCACUUGUAAGAGAGCCCCCUUAUCCUCGGCUUCUGUUUGCUGCCACGAAAUGGUAUCUACUAACCAGUCCCUUAGGUGUGCAUAGCACUACAGUGCGCUCUGGCAUGGCCUCACAUAUACUGACAAGGAACUUAAAGCUCAGGGAAGUGAAGUGAAUCCUUCCUAUAGAAAGUGGGAGGUCAGCCAGGCGUGGUGGCUCACACCUGUAAUCCCAGCACCUUGGGAGGCCGAGGCAGGCGGAUCACCUGAGAUUGGGAGUUCAAGACCAGCCUGACCAACAUGGAGAAACCCUAUCUCUACUAAAAAAAUGCAAAAUUAGCCAGGCGUGGUGGCGCCUGCCUAUAAUCCCAGCUACUUGAGAGGCUGAGGCAGGGAGAAUCGCUUGAACCCGGGAGACGGAGGUUGCGGUGAGCCAAGAUUGGUGCUACUGCACUCUAGCCUGGAGCCUGGGGUGACAAGAGCAAGAAGACUCUGUGUCUAAAAAAAAAAAGGGAGAAGUCAAGACAGGAACCUGGGUUUUAGGCCAGUACUUUGUUGUGUGACAUAACCAUCUUUGAGAACUCAACAGUGCAUAAAGUGGCAGCUAACACGCAGCUGAUUUCCUAUUGGCAUCUUACUUAGCAACAGAGAAGAGUGUCAGAAGUCCCGGGCUUGACCUAUGCCACGAGAACUCUUUAGAAUUAACUUGCUUUGUGUGCUGGUUGAGGAAUAAGUUGACAGGCAGAAGGUGGAAGGGGAUGUGUUUUCGCAGGAUCCAGCAUGGGGCUGGGAUUUAACAAAUGUCUGUUGACUGAACGUCCCAAGCCUGCAUCUUCAUCUGUAAAAUGCCAUAAAUGACACCCAGCCUUUAGAUGACAAAAACAGUUCUCAUGUAUGGGGCCCUCACUAUGUACCAGAUAAUAUAGUUUAUAUGCAGUUGUCACAAAAUAAUUCCCACCUCUCUGCCCAUUUUACCAAUGAGAAAACUGAGCUACAGGGAUUUAAAAUAAUCUGCCUCACACAGAAUUAGAAAGGGAUGAAGUUGCAACUUCAACCCAGAUAAUUUGAGCCCUCACUCUUCACUCUGGAGAGUGGCAAGACAGUGCAGGUGCCCGAUGAAGGUCGUGGAGGGCUCCCACCCUCUCCCAGGGGACAAAGGAGCCUGCAGAGGACAGUGAAGAGAACCAGGCACAGGGCUAGGUGACAUGGGACUAAGCCCCCUCACAAAGAGCACUCCAGCCCCUGCCUCCAUCCAAAGGCUGCCAGGAGCCCAUUUGUCCACUGUGGACUUGCCAUCUCCAUGACAGGCCAAGGCAGGUGCAGAUUCCUUGGGUGGCCUUAAGCAAGAAGCAAAGCCUGCCAAAGGGCCCAGAGUAACCGGGACCUCGUCCUAAAAAUCAGAAUGAGUCAAACCAAGUCUACACAUCAGAACUGGUUUCUUCUGUCACGUUCUCCUUGAUGUGGACUCCCACCCCCAACGUUGUUUCUGAUAGUAACCCCAGAAUCCAGUUCUCUUUCAGUUGUUAAAGGUAAAAACAAACAGCUCAUUUCCACUGUAUACUUUCAUAAUAUGUGAAAAAGAUUGCACAAAUUAUGUUUCAUUCUAAAGAAUAAGAGUUUCAAGAAUACAUUAAACUUCAAAGAAUCUUCGCUUGUGCUUAAAAAUAAUGCUGUCAAAUUGCUUCAUACACUUUAUAAGACUUUAGGCAAGAAACAUUACUAAUGGUAUCAUAAAUAAGUAUUAUAACUUUAUUAAAAUGAAAAGACAAUAUUCAAAAUAAUGCAACAAAAU
rnacentral:lncRNA from 1 species